rnacentral:rRNA from 1 species
CCUACGGGUGGCAGCAGUGGGGGAUAUUGCACAAUGGGGGAAACCCUGAUGCAGCGACGCCGCGUGUGGGAAGACGGUCUUCUGGAUUGUAAACCACUGUCCCCAGGGACGAAAAUGACGGUACCUGGGGAGGAAGCUCCGGCUAACUACGUGCCAGCAGCCGCGGUAAUACGUAGGGAGCAAGCGUUGUCCGUAAUUACUGGGUGUAAAGGGAGCGUAGGCGGGGAUGCAAGUUGGGUGUAAAAACUACCGGCUCAACCGAUAGUCGCACUCAAAACUGCAGCUCUUGAGUGGAGUAGAGGCAGGCGGAAUUCCUAGGGUAGCGGGGAAAUGGGUAGAUAUUAGGGGGAACACCAGUGGCGAAGGCGGCCUGCUGGGCUUUUACUGACGCUGAGGCUCGAAAGUGUGGGGAGCAAACAGGAUUAGAUACCCUGUAGUC